CAAUAUACGAGAUACAUAUUACAAAAUAUACAUAUAUCUCGUAUGUUCUA
rnacentral:precursor_RNA from 1 species